UACGUAGGGCGCAAGCGUUGUCCGGAAUCAUUGGGCGUAAAGCGCGUGUAGGCGGCCCGGUAAGUCCGCUGUGAAAGUCGGGGGCUCAACCCUCGAAUGCCGGUGGAUACUGUCGGGCUAGAGUGCGGGAGAGGCGAGUGGAAUUCCUGGUGUAGCGGUGAAAUGCGCAGAUAUCAGGAGGAACACCGAUUGCGAAGGCAGCUCGCUGGAACGUAACUGACGCUGAGACGCGAAAGCGUGGGGAGCAAACAGG
rnacentral:rRNA from 1 species